CUGAAGGGCGCGUCCGGGUCAAUUGCGGCUUGCAACACCCGAUCUCCCUCAACACACCUCCCGACGUGGAGGUCGCCGAGGGGGAGCGCGUGACCAUCAG
rnacentral:ncRNA from 1 species